rnacentral:rRNA from 1 species
GAUGAACGCUGGCGGCGUGCCUAAUACAUGCAAGUCGAGCGAACAGACGAGGAGCUUGCUCCUCUGACGUUAGCAGCGGACGGGUGAGUAACACGUGGAUAACCUACCUAUAAGACUGGGAUAACUUCGGGAAACCGGAGCUAAUACCGGAUAAUAUAUUGAACCGCAUGGUUCAAUAGUGAAAGACGGUUUUGCUGUCACUUAUAGAUGGAUCCGCGCCGCAUUAGCUAGUUGGUAAGGUAACGGCUUACCAAGGCAACGAUGCGUAGCCGACCUGAGAGGGUGAACGGCCACACUGGAACUGAGACACGGUCCAGACUCCUACGGGAGGCAGCAGUAGGGAAUCUUCCGCAAAGGGCGAAAGCCUGACGGAGCAACGCCGCGUGAGUGAUGAAGGUCUUCGGAUCGUAAAACUCUGUUAUUAGGGAAGAACAAAUGUGUAAGUAACUAUGCACGUCUUGACGGUACCUAAUCAGAAAGCCACGGCUAACUACGUG